UAACGGCGACUGAAGCGGCAACAGCUCAAAUUUGAAAUCUGGUCCCUAGGGCCCGAGUUGUAAUUUGUAGAGGAUGCUUUUGGUGAGGUGCCGCCCGAGUUCCCUGGAAAGGGACGCCACAGAGGGUGAGAGCCCCGUCUGGCUGGCCGCCGAGCCUCUGUAAAGCUCCUUCGACGAGUCGAGUAGUUUGGGAAUGCUGCUCAAAAUGGGAGGUAUAUGUCUUCUAAAGCUAAAUAUUGGCCAGAGACCGAUAGCGCACAAGUAGAUGAUCGAAAGAUGAAUAGCACCUUGAAAAGAGGGUUAAAUAGUACGUGAAAUUGAAGAAUGCCAAGCGCUUGUGACCAGACUUGGGCGCGGCGGAUCAUCCGGGGUUCUCUCCGGUGCACUUCGCCGCGUCUAGGCGAGCAACAGUUCGUCGCGCGGGAAAAUGGCUCCGGGAACGUGGCUCCUCCGGGAGUGUUAUAGCCCGUUGCAUAAUAGCCUGCGGUGGACUGAGGACCGCGCAUCUGCAAGGAUGCUCGCGUAAUGGUCACCAGCGACCCGUCUUGAAACACGGACCAAGGAGUCGUCUUCGUAUGCGACUGUUCGGGUGUCAAUGCCCUACGCGUAAUGAAAGUGAACGCAGGUGAGAGGUUCGGCGCAUCAUCGACCGAUCCUGAUGUUCUGGGAUGGAUUUGAGUAAGAGCAUACGGGGCCGGACCCGAAAGAAGGUGAACUAUGCCUGUAUAGGGUGAAGCCAGAGGAAACUCUGGUGGACGCUCGCCC
rnacentral:rRNA from 1 species